CGUAAACAACCUGCCUUAAGGAUGGGGAUAACAGACGGAAACGACUGCUAAUACCGAAUACGUUCUAAGCAUCGCAUGGUGCAUAGAAGAAAGGGUGGCCUCUACAAGAAAGCUAUCGCCUUAAGAGGGGUUUGCGACUGAUUAGGUAGUUGGUGAGGUAACGGCUCACCAAGCCGACGAUCAGUAGCCGGUCUGAGAGGAUGAACGGCCACACUGGAACUGAGACACGGUCCAG
rnacentral:rRNA from 1 species